AGGGAUUUAGCUCAGUGGCAUAAGCACCUGCCUGGCAAGCACGAGGUUGUUAGUUCAAUCCCUG
rnacentral:tRNA from 1 species